UGAUGGUGGUGGGGCGGCCGAUACUCGUCGCCACUGCCCAUCAUCUGUCCCCCCAUCAUCAUGCCGCCACCAGCGCCGCCGUACAUCUGCUGCUGAUCCGUCAUCAUGCCGCCGCCGUACAUUUGUUGCUGAUCCAUCAUGCCGCCGCCGUACAUGCCCUGCUGGAUACCGCCGUACAUCUGCUGGCCCGUCAUGCCGCCGCCGUACAUUUCCGGCUGCCACCUCAGCGACACCGAUAAAAUGCCGUGUUGCUCCAUAUUGUGCAUAUCCAUAACAGGGACCUGUUUGUUGUCCUGGCCCAUUUCCCGGACUCGGGACAAAUUAACGGUGGCGAUGCCUAGGUUCGGAUCUCGACCAAUCUCACUAUCCUACGGGGGUUAGUAGAAAUGGAAGAUAGUGCGCAACGAACGAAAAGAAAAAACGAACGAGAUCUAGUAAGCCUAAUGUCAAAAGCGCCGGGCUUCAUCUGCAGAAAGCCUGAAAAGUGGACUUCUGACACGCCAGGACAGGCAUAUGAAGAAGUUUUGCGUCGUCCUCGUCAAACGCCGACCAAUUUGCUCAAGUUAACAGCAAGCAGGCAACACUGUGCGAAAGGGCGUCGUGCAUAGAUGCAUAUGGCAUGCGCCUCGCUGACGUUGCAAAAAGCUGAAAAGGUAAUAAAGUCGCAGAGGUCGCAUGUCGCUACUGCAGCCGAGGCGAGCCGAAAGGGCGACCCCAAAAAACACCUGUUGUAGCCAAGCCAAGGUGUCGCGCUAACGAUAUUAACGGGGGACAGCGUGUGGGCACAUAAACUAACGACGCUCUCCCACAGAGCGGAUUCGGGUUCUCUACCUUUAGCUCAACGGUGAGAUCGUUCUCGUUGCCGAUGUUGAACUGGAAGGUCUCAUUCCAUACGGGGUUCUUGCCGGCCCGGGUUGCAGUUUGAGUCCGAUGUGUCUGUGUGCCCACGGACAGAAUGCAGUACGGACUCUGCCUG
rnacentral:lncRNA from 1 species